ACUUUCAUACCUUAGCUCAUCAUUUCAUAACUAAUCUAAAAGGAUUAAUGAGCCUGCAUCCAGUUUAACAAGGUAGCAAAGAACCAAAUUCUUAGUUAACUACACACUAACUAAUUGAUGAGUAUACUACUUGAAGGUAUCCAUAACCCUAACUGAUUAAUAAAAUCGGAACUCUUUACCCCUUCUUUCCUAAAUCAACAUACCAUCCCUCCGGAAAUGGAAACUCCAUACGAAUGAAGAAUAAUGCAACACGUCUUCAUCCACAUCAGCAUAAUUACUUUCGAGCUCCAAUUCCCCGCUCUCUCCUCUCCUUCCUGUUGUGGGCAUGAAUAUCCGCAACAGA
rnacentral:lncRNA from 1 species